GAACGCAAGUUGCGCCCGAGGCCUAUCGGCCAAGGGCACGUUCGCCUGGGCGUCAAGCGUUGCAUCGCUCCGUGCCAUCUCCAUUCCAUCCAUGGAUGUGUUGGAGAGGGCUCA
rnacentral:misc_RNA from 1 species